rnacentral:rRNA from 1 species
GACGAACGCUGGCGGCGUGCCUAACACAUGCAAGUGGAGCGACGAACCAGGCUUCGGCCUGGGGCAAAGCCGCGAACGGGUGAGUAACACGUGGGUAACCUGCCCUGAUGAUUGGGACAACCCGAGGAAACUCGGGCUAAUACCGAAUGUGCCCUCCGGCCUCAAGGCCGCUGGGGAAAGGAAGCUUCGGCCUCCGCAUCGGGAUGGGCCCGCGGCCCAUUAGCUUGUUGGUGAGGUAACGGCUCACCAAGGCGACGAUGGGUAGCUGGUCUGAGAGGACGAUCAGCCACACUGGGACUGAGACACGGCCCAGACUCCUACGGGAGGGCAGCAGUGGGGAAUCUUGCGCAAUGCGCGAAAGACGUGACGCAGCAACGCCGCGUGGGG